rnacentral:lncRNA from 1 species
CUAACCUGAACCCUAACCUUAGCCCUAAUCCUAAUUCUAACCCUCGCCCUAGCCCUAAAGCUAGCUAUAACCCCACCUAUUCCCCUAAACUUAACCCUAACUCCAAUGCUAACCCUAAACUUAGCCCUUCCCCUAGGCCUAACCCUAACACUAACCCUAGCCCUAAUCCUAGCCCUAAUUUAUUCCUAACCCUAACUAUAAUCCUAUGCCUAGUCCUAAGACAAACCCUAACUCUCAUCCUGGCCAUAUCCCUAGUUCUAACCCUAUCCCUUAUCAUAAAUCUAACCCUAGUCCUAACCUUAGCCCUAGCCCUAACCCUUGAUCUAACACUAACUCUAAACCUAACCCUAACCCUAAGCUGCAACCUCACCCUAACACUACCCCUAACCCUAAUGUUAAUCCAAAAUCUAGCCCUAACCCUAGCCCUAGCCCUAAAACAAAACUGAGCCAUAGCCCUAAACCUAACCCUUAACUUAAACCAAACCCUAAACCUACACCUAGCCCUAAAUUUAGCUCUAAUUCGAGUCCUAAACCUAACCCUAAAACUAACCUUGACCCUGACUCUGACCCUAACACUAACCCUAGGUAUAAACAUCACCCUAACACUAAACUAUGCUUUGCAUGCUUCAGCAUAGGGAUACAUUCACAAGGAACAAACCAGAGAGUGCCCAAGGAGAACUGAUUGAGUGUUUGAAGUUUUAAGCAGCUAACACCAACCAUGUUUGUUAUCCAGCUCCAUUUCCAAUUAUCCAUAUAGGGCAAAAUGAAGUGAAACCUUAAACAUACCAUAGCCCUAACCCUAGUGCUAAGACUAACUCUAACUCUUGCCCUAUCCUGUUGAGAGCCAC